AAAAAAAAGGGCAAGGCAGAGAUCUACCAAAUCUUUACAGCGUCAGUGUGAAAUAAAUGAAAAAACCAAUUCCAGCUCAAAAAGCGUUUUUUGCAACUUCGCCAUUCUGAUAACCCUAAAAAUUCCGAUUCACCAUUCUUAAAUGCACUGAAAUUUCACAGCUACUCCCAUUGAAACGUACUCAAAUUUCGCAGCCACUUGAACUUCAGCAGGGUUUACGAUUGAAAAUUUCCGUUGAAAUUUAGUGUUAAAAUGCUGAACUCAUCGGACUCAACCAUCGCACUUCACCAAUGCAAUCGGUUAAUAUUUUGGAGAAAGGUUAUAACCAUGUCCGUGCUAUUCACUAUCUAGCGGAUUCAAUUACUUCAUAUUGGUAAGUUGAGGAUUGAUGACUGAUCUGGCAUAUUUGUUACCAACUAUCUCGAGUUUGAUUCCGUCGUGUUCCUCUACGAUUAUUGCCAUGACAUCCACCAUUACCACCACCUCCGUCAUCAUGGCCAUCGCCAUCGUAGUCAUGUGAACGUUACCAUCUUCCCUAUUUGAGUCAUGGUCGAAGAGUUCAUAAGUCUCAUCAAAAUCGUAUCUUGACAAAUUGGGAUUAAUGGAUCUAUGAUCGUCAAUCCACCAGGAUAGUCAAGAUACUAUCCUGGUAUGGGGUUAUGCAACUCUAUUGGCUUUGUAACCUCCAUGUCUACCAAGAGUUUCGAGCUUCCUGGCCAAAUUUUUGACAGCUCCAGUCCAUUUUUCAUGUAGCAUAUUCUCUUAUUCUUAUCACAGGUGGUCAUCCACCAUUUCAUGCUAUGAAGCACCCACAACUUCAUUGAAUUAGGUAUCUUGAUAGUAUGCUUGUUGCUAUUUGACCAUGAGAAUCUACGUAUUUUUCUCAAACACAAUUAUUUUAAGCGUCUCAUGGUUUGUUUGUGCUUGCAAUAACGGUCAUCCAGUUGCACAAGUUUAUUACGAAUUUCAUAGUAUUUUUUCAUCAUCAAUAAUUGAUAAAUCAUUAGCACUCAAUAACUGUUUCCUCUUUUUCUUUACCUUUCAAAAACUGAUAGAUCAUUAGUUAAACUAGUAAAUUUUUAAUAUUUAAUUUAGGUAACUUCACUCUUUUUCUACGAAAGACUUCUGCAGAAAUGCACCAUGUUUAAUGAACGUUAUAGAUGUCUUCAAAAACUUCUUGGUGGAAUACAUUAGCCACUCGGAAAUAACUCACCACAUUCUGAAGUUGAGAAGGAAAAAGAAAUCGAGGAAACGGUUUUUGAAUGCUCAUGAUCUACCAAUCGUUGAUGAUGAAAAAUACUAUGAAAUUUAUAAUGAACUUGUGCAACUGGAUGAUCGUUAUUACAAGCAGAAACAAACCAUGAGAAUGUCAAAGCAAUUGCGUUUGAGGAAAAUGUAUAGAUUCUCAUGGUCAAACAGCAACAUUCGUACCAGCAAGAUACCGAUUCAAUGAAGUUGUGGGUGGUUCAUUGCAUGAAAUGGUGGACGACCACAUGUGAUAAGAAUUGGAGAAUCUGCUACUUAAAAAUUGGCCGAAACUAUAUUGCAUCAAAACUUUGGCUAGGAAGCUCGAAAUUCAGGUUACAGAGGCAAUGGAGUUGCAAAACCUAUACCAGGAUGGUAUCUUGAUUAACCUGGUGCAUUGACGAUCAUAGAUCCAAUAAUCCCCAAUUUGACAGGAUACAAUUAUGAGAAGACUUAUGAACUCUCCGACCAUGAAUCGGAUAGGGAAGAUGGUAACAUCCACGUGGUGGAGGAUUGUGAUGGCAUGGAGGACCUCCAUGCGUUGGCGAUCGCGGCCUUCCUCCUCCACCACCUGGUCUUCUUUUUCCGUCCAAUAUUCCAGGCUGUCAUCCACGCAUAGAUGGUUGGAGAAGAAUAUCGAUCAUGUGUAUCUCUAAUGCAGAACAACAAUAUAUAUGCUACCUUCCUGCUCCUAUUCUCAAGGAUGGAAGUCAAUAAGAACUUUUAAUUAACUUACAAUUUACUUUCUUCAAGAAGAACUUUCAACUUCAAUCAAUUUAUAUUUUAUUUCCUGGAA